UAUAGUCUGUAGACGCGUCAGGG
rnacentral:miRNA from 1 species